GCCAGGCGUGGUGAUGCGCGCCUGUAGUCCCAGCUACUCAGGAGGCUGGGGCAGGAGAAUCGCUUGAACCCGGGAGGCAGAGGUUGCAGUGAGCCGAGAUUGCGCCCACUACACUUCAGCCUGGGUGACAGAGUGAGACUCUGCCUCAA
rnacentral:SRP_RNA from 1 species